UUGAUUACGUCCCUGCCCUUUGUACGCACCGCCCGUCGCUGCCCGGGACUGAGCCAUUUCGAGAAACUUGGGGACCGUGGAUUCAGUGGCUUUCGGGUCGCCGUUUUCGUGGGAACCAAUUUAAUCGCAGUGGCUUGAACCGGGCAAAAGUCGUAACAAGGUAGCUGUAGGUGAACCUGCUGCUGGAUCAUUACAUACCGUGAUGGUCAUAUCUACACACGUUGGUGUGGGCUCGUAGGGCUCGUGUCUGUUGAGCCGGGCACAUGGUCUGGGGUUAGCGGCUAUAUGUCACACGGGUUGCUGGUUGGCAAUGCCUAGUAGUAUCAGCAGUUAAGCUCGUGUAAAACUUUCCCUGUCUGUGUGUCAACACCUUGACUCUCAUGGGUGUCUCGUGCUGUGCCUAAGAGAUGGUUCAUGUCUGUAGAACCCAGUGUUGGCACUCGCCAAUGUGCUUGUCUGGUGCGCAUUGUCUCGGCGUGUCGCUUAGCACUGUCCUAGGCCAACGGCUAGAGCUGGCGUCUGCGCGUCAUUGAGCAGUUGUGUUCGGUCCGUGGCUGUGAUGAGAUGGCGCGGUAGGACUCACACCUGGACAAUGGGGUGUGUGGUUUAAGACUUGAUGAGCCUGUUGUCUCGGGCCGCCAGCAUUUUUUUCUUUUUCAUUUUAUUUUUUUAUAUACAAUUGAAUUCUAGUCUCAUCGGUGGAUCACUCGGCUCGUAGGUCGAUGAAGAACGCAGCUAACUGCGAUAAUUAGUGUGAACUGCAGAAACCUUGAACACAAAACUUUCGAAUGCACAUUGCGCCAUUGGAGUCACAUCCUUUGGCACGCCUGGUUCAGGGUCGUAAUAAUAAAACGCAAUCCGUUUGCGUGCAUUGAAUGUGCUCCUUCAUUUGCGCCUCACUGUCUCUAUGAGUUUGCGAAUGUUCGAGUAUUUUUGUGAAAAGCUCAUGUUUGUUAGUGUGCAGCGGGUAGUGUGUCCUGAUACGCUGUUUUCUCAGCCGAUGCCUGCCUUGAGGGUGACUCUAGCUUGUUGCUUGCUGGAUACGCCUGUGCUGUUACAUUGAUGAGCGUGUUGCCACUUUUGAUUUUUCGACCUGAACUCAGACGUGAAUACCCGCUGAACUUAAGCAUAUCAGUAAGCGGAGGAAAAGGAACUAACAAGGAUUCCCUUAGUAACGGCGAGUGAAA
rnacentral:rRNA from 1 species